rnacentral:rRNA from 1 species
UACGAAGGGUGCAAGCGUUAAUCGGAAUUACUGGGCGUAAAGCGUGCGUAGGCGGUGACUUAAGUCUGUUGUGAAAUCCCCGGGCUCAACCUGGGAAUGGCAAUGGAUACUGGGUCGCUAGAGUGUGAUAGAGGAUGGUGGAAUUCCCGGUGUAGCGGUGAAAUGCGUAGAGAUCGGGAGGAACAUCAGUGGCGAAGGCGGCCAUCUGGAUCAACACUGACGCUGAGGCACGAAAGCGUGGGGAGUAAACAGG